rnacentral:pre_miRNA from 1 species
GAGACACCCUUCUGGGGCAAGACUUGCUUCAGUGGGGCUUUGGUGCUCACUGAGUCUGCCGCCUGAGUGUGUCCCU